CAGUAGCCGCGGUAAUACGUAGGUGGCGAGCGUUGUCCGGAAUUAUUGGGCGUAAAGGGAGCGCAGGAGGACAUAUAAGUCCAUCUUAAAAGUGCGGGGCUCAACCACGUGAGGGGAUGGAAACUGUAUGCCUUGAGUGCAGGAGAGGAAAGCGGAAUUCCCAGUGUAGCGGUGAAAUGCGUAGAUAUUGGGAGGAACACCAGUGGCGAAGGCGGCUUUCUGGACUAUAACUGACGCUGAGGCUCGAAAGCCAGGGGAGUGAACGGGAUUAGAUACCCCCGUAGUCCCUGUCUCUUAUACC
rnacentral:rRNA from 1 species